rnacentral:misc_RNA from 1 species
AAGUCGUAACAAGGUUUCCGUAGGUGAACCUGCGGAAGGAUCAUUACAGAUUGUUUUCAAAAACAAAAUUGGGCUAAGCUGUUGCUGGUUUUUUCGAAAGAGAAAGCAUGUGCACGCUUUGGCUUCAGUUUUUGACCACCUGUGCACCCUUGUGUGGAUUUUUGAAUAUUCAGGAAGAAAAAAAAAUUCCUGGUCAGAGAAAAUGUCUCAGAAACAUACAGUAUGGGACUUUUCUUGUAUUUCAGAUCUACAUCAUUUUUUUUUUUUUUUUCUACAUACACUUUGUAUUACAUAUUGGAACGAUUAAAUGAUUCAAUUUUCAUUUUGAAAACAACUUUCAACAACGGAUCUCUUGGCUCUC